rnacentral:rRNA from 1 species
UACGUAGGGUGCAAGCGUUAAUCGGAAUUACUGGGCGUAAAGCGUGCGCAGGCGGUUAUGUAAGACAGAUGUGAAAUGCCCGGGCUUAACCUGGGAACUGCAUUUGUGACUGCAUGGCUAGAGUUUGGCAGAGGGAGGUAGAAUUCCAUGUGUAGCAGUGAAAUGCGUAGAGAUCAUGAGGAAGACCAGUGGCGAAGGCGGGUCUCUGGACAGUUCCUGACACUGAGGCACGAAGGCCAGGGGAGCAAACGGG